rnacentral:rRNA from 1 species
ACGUAGGUGACAAGCGUUGUUCGGAUUUACUGGGCGUAAAGGGUCCGCAGGUGGCCUAUCAAGUCUGAUGUGAAAUACCGGAGCUCAACUCCGGAACUGCAUUGGAUACUGCUAGGCUAGAGUAUCGGAGAGGAGAGUAGAAUUCCAGGUGUAGCGGUGGAAUGCGUAGAUAUCUGGAAGAAUACCAAAGGCGAAGGCAGCUCUCUGGACGAUGUCUGACCCUCAGGGACGAAAGUGUGGGGAGCAAACAG